GUCGCGGGGAACGCGCUCGGGGCGACCCGGGCGGGAACGACUCUCGUCCUCCCUGAGCUGGAAGGGAGCGCGGGAUACGCCGGCGCGCUCAACCUCUCCUCUCUCGCUAGCGAAAAACUCCGCGCCUCAGAGCUGUAACCAGGUCGGGGAAAAACACAGGCGGCAAAGCCAGACCUGGAGGCCGCGGUGGAAACCCUUCCAGAGUAGCAAACACGAACGAAUGAGGUCUCAGAAGCACCCAUGAAAAAUAGAAACUGCUGCAGAGACUAAGAGGAAAAACUAAUAAAUAACAAUCAGCACUUGUGAAAGGCCUUCUUCUCAGCCCCCUGAUGUUUGGACCCCAGACCAAGUGUGGACUCUUUCCUACUGUUUUGUUUGCUGGAGUCAAAAAUCAUGUCUCACCGGAGGGCUUCUAGUGAAUUUAGUCUUGCAUCCUAUUGAAGAAUCUGGAUCAUGGAAGAGAUGCUGAUGCACAUUCUGGAAGUUUUGAUGGUGGCUUCUUUAUCUUAGCAGAGGUUGAUAAUGGAUGGUGUUUAGUCAAUGAGCAAGACUCAUUUUUUUCUGAAAUGAUUGAUUGGAGUGGAGGAAAAUGUGGACGGCAUGUUGUCAUACAGUAAGUCCAUCACCAGAAAUAACAAUGAAAUUUAUCCACAGCUAUUGUGAGAUACCAUCAAUAGCAAAGUGAAUCUCAGCUUCAAAUUCUGUUAAAAUGUGC